rnacentral:sRNA from 1 species
AAAUAAACCUGAUUGGACGAAUGCCGAUUCCUUCUAUCGGCAGCAGGGAAAGCAGGGCUGAAA